AGAAGGGGAGUACAACACAUAGGACCAUUAUUGCUGAUGACACCAGAUACUCUUUUGCUUGAAUUUCUGAAGCACUGGAUAAAUGCAGCACAAGAUAACAAGAGUUCCCAGCAAAGGAGGCAGGAUGCCUUCACCAGCCAUUUUAACUUGCAACACACAGUGGAGAGUUGGAUUUGAAGAAAAGAAAAAAAUCAGGUUUUUCGAUGAUGUACCUUAAGAACCUCUCUUUUCUAAGAUCUAUAGUUAAAAACACCAUUGUCAGCCAUGGAUCAGUUCUUUUUCUCAUGAAGCCACCUUUUAAAAAAACUACAUUAAGUUAUAAUUUACAUGCAAUAAAAUGCACCCAUUAUAAGUAGGACUGUGAGGAAUGUGUAUACUUGAGUGAACAACCACUACAAGAUCUAGAGCACCCUCCUCCUCCCCAGAAAACAUGGCUAAGGCCCCUUUUUAGUCAGUCCUGCCUCCACCCCAACCACAGGCCACUGCUUUGCUUUCUAUCGUGAUAGAUUAAUUUUGCUUUUCCAGAUCAUUCCAUAAACAGUAUGUAUUGUUUUUGGCCUGGAUUUUUAACUUAGCAUAAACUUUUUGAGAUUCAUCAGUGUUGUUGCUUGUAUCUGUAACUUGUUUUUUUUCUUUUUUUCCCCUUCUGAGUUUUAUUGCAUUUUAUGAAUAUACCACAAUUUGUUUAUCCAUUUGCCUGUUGGUGGAUGGUUGGAUUGUAUUCACUUAGGGCUAUUAUGAGUAUGGCUGCUAUGGACAUUUGUGUAUAGGUCUUCGUGUAGUAUUCAUUUCUCUUGGGCAAAUAUUAAUAUCUAGGAGGAAAUGGCUGGGUUGUAUGAUUAAGUGUGUGCGUAACCUUUUAAGAAACUGCCAAGGUGUUUUCCAGAGUGUUUCUGUCAUUUUAAAUUCCCACCAGUGACGGAUGAGCAUUCAAGUGGCUCCACAUUCCCAGCACCACUUGGGUUUGUCAGCUUUUUAAAAUAAUUUUAGUCAUUCUAGAGGUUUGUAGAGGUAUAUCAUUGUGAUUUUAAUUUGCAGUUUCCUGAAGACUAAGGACAAUGAGCAGUUUUUUUAUGUGUUUUUUGGCCAUUUGGAUAGCUUUUUUAUUUUUUGUAAAAUGUCUGUUUAAAUCUUUUGCCAGUAUUGUUUUAGGUUGUUAUCUCCUAAUUACUGAGUUGUAAGAGUUCCUUAUAUAUUUGGAAUACUAGUCCUUUAGCAGAUGUAUAUGUAUUACAAAUAUUUUCUCCCACCUUGUGGCUUGCCAUGUCAUUUUCUUAUUGGUGUCUUUCAAAGAGCAAAAGUUUUUAAUUUUGAGAGUCCAAUUUAUCAAUUUAUUUU